GAAAGGUCAUCGCCUGAAUCCUUAACUCUGUAUUUCUCCAGAUGUUGUGGUUGGUUGGCUCGCCGAGUUGGAGUGUUGUUUCGCAGACAUUUCAUUACCGUGCCAGUUUCCCCAGUGCAAUGGAGGAUGAGGAGACUAAUUCUUAUGAUGGUGGGUUUGUCUUAUGAGGAUCGAUUGAGGAAAGUGACCUCCCUGGGGACGUAACAGCCUGGUGGAUAUUGUUGCUGAACUGCUCAUCCAGAGACCCAGUAUAUUUCAAUGGCAGUGAACUGUGGAUCGGACAGAUGCAAACCGUGUGGAACCUACCUUAGCUGCAUUGAUUCUAAUUUAUGUUUCAAGCAUUCAAGAAAUAUUUAAAAUGACUGAACAAUCAAAGAGUUGUGGGCUGAAGACACUAAAGACCGAGCCACACAUUUCAGCUAAGUGCUCAUCAC